UUCAUUCACAGAUAUGUAGUUACGGGGAAGUAUAUCACAUGAACCAAAUAUUAUGAAAAUAAUAAUAGUUUAAAAGAGGAAAUGUAUUAAAUCUUUCAACACAGAGUUAUGGCCUGAUUCAAAACGUCUCCUGCUGUGUAUCAUCAAAUAACUAACAUUAUGCUAGACUGAGGUAUGUUCAGUCAGAAAGCUGAUAUGAAUUAUGCAAAGUAAACAACUAGUGUGUAAAAUAUAUUACAUAAACCAUAUAUUUCUAAGAUGAAUUUUGAGUCAUUUCAGUGGAUAAAGUGGAUGGACGUCGGAAGGAUAAUAAUGAACUAGAAGUAUUUUAUUGAUUGUUGUAGUACAAAUAACUCUGUAAUUAUAAUUGGGAAUGUCCCGGAGGUAUAGUGGGUACACGUCUUGUCACUUCUAAUUAUGAGUACUACAGUCAAAUACAUUACACAUGGUACAUUUUACAUAGUCAUGUCAGCACCUUUUUUUGCAGUGGAAAUGGGAUUUAGUUCUUUGUUACACAGCCACACGUGCAGACGGCCCUCCCUGCAUCAUCUCCUGGCGCUCCACGAAAAGCCACCGACUGGCAUCAGGUUCGCUCUCAAUAGCAAACCUUCCAGCGGGAGGCGCCCUGACUGCUUUUCCCGUCAUCGCUUGCACUAUAAACGGUGCUAUGCAGAGGGCGGCACUUUGGUCAUUUCGAGGAUAUUCAUCAGAGAGCCUCAUGACAAUCAGUCUAAAUGUAUGCGCACAGCGUCUCCGUUCUUGAUGGGUACGAAGGAAGGAAAAGGAAACUGAUGCGGAGCAAAAGAGCACAGCAGAAAAUAACUCGGUGUAACUUUAAUCCCAGAGACAUGCCUCAAAAAAUGUCUGCUAUGAGAGCAUCUUACCAGCAAAGCAGAGAAUCGUCCAGAUUGCUGCUAAGAAUAGAGCCCUGGGAGGCCAAGGGGCCUGAGGGAAUGUCCAGUAAAUAUUGAUGAUUCAUGGGCUGAAACCGCUGUAUGAAUUACUUCGGAUGAGCAAGAAUUUCUGAUGAUUCAGUAACUGGGCUGUGAUUUCAAAAACCCAGAAUGAAACACUAACUUCAGACAUAUAUACCUACUGGGUGUAUAGAUUUCAUCUGACUUUAUAAGAUCAGGAUAAGAGUGUUUUUUUAAUGAUAAAUAUUACAUUAAAUCUGUUCAUUCGCUAAACUCUUUGUUUCUCCCCUUGAAUUUGUGGUACAGUGAUGCUGCUCUGGGCAACGCAGCCUGCAGAAAUGUGCCCAGGAGCUGUGGGUGGCACUGAAAGGGCUCUUUUGCCAAAGGAACAUGAAGUACAAAGGACACGAUCUGCAGGGAGGGCAUUUGGCUGGUGUCCUCUGGUAACUAAGCCCGUAGCGCAGCUGGAAGAACACAGCGUAAUAAUCGGGGAAUUACCGCUGUUAGUCACACAAAAUAUGUUACGCUUGUGAGUGAGGAGCUAGGGGCUGAGGGUUAGGAAGCUGACCUAUCAUUUACAUCCUCUUAGUGCUGACUUCCAGUCAUUUUUCCUAAAACUCAUGGUAAACUUUGUAUGUUAAUCAUAGUUCAACCUUUUAAUAUCAAAAGUAUCUAUCUCAGUGUUUUUCCGAAUGACCAGUGGAUUUUGGCUUAACUGGAGCCUUUAGCAGAAAUAAGUACAAGACAGGGGGACACUGGACAGAAUACACUACGGGCAAUUUAAGCCACUUCACCUCAAUACACGAUUUUGGACCAAGGGAGGAGGCCAAAGUAGAGAAAGGAAGGCUAUGUAUGCCAGCUCAGGAGACACUGAGGAGAGGCCUGAGUCGAGCUUGAAAUCCUGGACAUAUGGGCAAUAGUGCGACUCACAGAGACGCUGAGCAGGCCUGACUAAAGCCCGCAUUCUGCUUCUGUAGGUUAUACUUCCAUGGUGCUGAUAUGCAUUUCAUUAAGUCACUGUUUGAAUAAUUAUCCAUCAAAGGAGAUUUUUAUGCUUUCUAGGAAAAGCAGAGGGUGCCGCAAAAUGGAAAACCCAAGUCAGUGUCCCUAACUGGGCGGCCAUUCUGAAUCCAGAGAGGACACAGAGAUAGAUGGGGUCAACACUAAAUGACAAAAAAGGCACAUAACAUUAACUGCAAAAUUGAAUUAUAUCUGAAUUAUUUAGUUCUACAAAAUUAUCAUUUACCAUUUUUUUUAAUAAUAAUCACUGUUCUUUAUAAAACAGCAGAGUAUAAAAUUAAUAUGUACUGUAUUUGCAUUGUCUUUGGUGAUAAAAAUAGACCAAAAUGACGUAUUUGAUCUCUACAAUACCAUGAUUCACGGCUCUAUAAUUAAUGUAUAACUGGACUUGUGAGACAUCUGAAAUUUGUGUGAUGGAAACGUAAACAGCAAGGUGACUGACUGGCACGUGACUGACAUUAGUGACAAUAUACAACAGCAGAUGUGAAGAUGAAAUGAAUCAGCUCAGAUAUUAAUAGAUUAUAUAUAAUAUUUUGAGAUGCAUUAUUAUGCAUGGUGUUCAACUCUAACCUGCUUAUAAAAUCAGAAAGUGGGAGUGAAAAAAUGAGCUUCUCAUAUCCAGUAUGGUACCAUAUCAGGUGCAUUUGUUCAUUUUUGUUUAUUUGAUGUUUGUUGAUUGUAAGAUGCUGUAUGUAGCCCUAUA